CAAAAACAUAGCCCCACGCAAUUAGGUGGGGUAAUUUCUGCUCAAUGAGAUAUUAAAUAGCCGCAGUACCCUGACUGUGCAAAGGUAGCGUAAUCAAUUGUCUUCUAAUUAGAGACCUGUAUGAAAGAAUAUAUGGGGAUUUUCUUUACCAUUGAUGAUAAAUUAAAUUUUUAAAGUGAGUGCAAAUACUCAUUCAUAAAUAAAAGACGAGGAGACCCUAGAAAUUUGUAAGUGGUUUUUUGUUGGGGCAACAUAAUAGCAUUUAAUCUAUUUUAUGUAUAUGGAAUUUUUUGGAAAAAUAAAAUUACUCUAGGGGUAACAGCAUAAUAUAAAAAUGUUUGUGACCUCGAUGUUGGAUUAGGAAUUUGUAGUYUAGRAGACUAAC
rnacentral:rRNA from 1 species